rnacentral:rRNA from 1 species
AGUGAACGCUGGCGGUAGGCCUAACACAUGCAAGUCGAACGGCAGCACAGUAAGAGCUUGCUCUUACGGGUGGCGAGUGGCGGACGGGUGAGGAAUACAUCGGCAUCUACUUUUUCGUGGGGGAUAACGUAGGAAACCUACUCCUAACACCUAUUCUAACUACCGGUUUAAUCCAGGGGUCUUCGGCCCUUUUGCGGUUUAAUUUGGCCGAUUUUGGAUUAGCUAGUUGGCGGGGUAAAGGCCCACCAAGCCGACGAUCCGUAGCUGGUCUGAGAGGAUGAUCAGCCACACUGGAACUGAGACACGGUCCAGACUCCUACGGGAGGCAGCAGUGGGGAAUAUUGGACAAUGGGCGCAAGCCUGAUCCAGCCAUACCGCGUGGGUGAAGAAGGCCUUCGGGUUGUAAAGCCCUUUUGUUGGGAAAGAAAAGCAGCAGGUGAAUACCCCGCUGUUCUGACGGUACCCAAAGAAUAAGCAACGGCUAACUUCGUG